AUACGGAGGAUGCGAGCGUUAUCCGGAUUUAUUGGGUUUAAAGGGUGCGUAGGCGGCCUUUUAAGUCAGCGGUGAAAGUCUGUGGCUCAACCAUAGAAUUGCCGUUGAAACUGGGGGGCUUGAGUAUGUUUGAGGCAGGCGGAAUGCGUGGGGUAGCGGGGAAAUGAAUAGAUAUCACGCAGAACCCCGAUUGCGAAGGGAGCCUGCCAAGCCAUGACUGACGCUGAUGCACGAAAGCGUGGGGAUCAAACAGGAUUAGAUACCCUGGUAGUCCACGCAGUAAACGAUGAUCACUAGCUGUUUGCGAUACACUGUAAGCGGCACAGCGAAAGCGUUAAGUGAUCCACCUGGGGAGUACGCCGGCAACGGUGAAACUCAAAUGAAUUGACGG
rnacentral:rRNA from 1 species